CAACGUAUAUCAAAAUUUCUAUGAUAGGAAAAGAUUAAAAAAAUAAUAAUAAAAAAAUAAAAAACAAAAGAAAUCCCAAAAUUUAACAAUCUGUGUUCUGCUGGAACGACGGGAUUCUCCCCCGCCGCCUGGAUCUACUUUCUCUCUGCUCGCACCAUCUGUUCAAUUGUUUUCACAAAAGAAAUUUGGAUACCCUUUCUUCUUCCCUUCUCUCUCUCAAUUGUAAAAAUACGAUCUUUUCACCGUUUGCAUAUAUCUCUUCCUCCUUCCCUGUCAUUGGUAAAGAUCUGUUCUUUUCAUUGCAACAAUUGGUCGGAAACUGAUUGGAAGAAGGUAUAUUUUGUUGAUCACGCCGGAACCAUUCCUUGAUGCUCGCCUGGUUCUGAUCUCGCUUGCUUUUUUCCAUGGAAUCUAGGAUUUCAAGCAAGAACAGAGGAUCUGGAAGGGUCCCCGGCAAAUCCGCGGCAAACUCCUUCAAAAGAUCAAGGACAGACAUGUUAUUGAUCUAUGGUUUGUUAUCUGUCAAUCACAAAACAACUCUCUUAAUCGCCAAAUCUAAAGUUUACAAUCUGAUCAGAGGGUGUUGUCAAUUUCCUUCUCCCUUGCCCCUUGCAGAUUAUGCAAUUUCUGAUGUAAACUACCAGAGGCAAUUAUUCCUAGCCAGCUUCUUCAAGAACCCAGUGUUCUUGAGGCAAAGGUAUGUCCUAAAAUAUGGCUCAUAAAUUUGAAGUUUGGUAUCAUUUUAUGAAAAUUGCAAAUGAAGAGGGAGGGAAAUUUAAAUGUGGUUGUAAUGCAAUCAACUUAUGAAAGAAAAAUAAAAUCCGCAAGAAGGGAAAACCAAGAGCUAGAUCAAGCUAGAGAAUAGCUUAAACACCCACAACUCAAUCCCAAAAGAAAGGGAGAGGUAAAAAACUGCUUUGGCAGACUGAAUAUACUGAUAGUACUAAAAAGCUGCUCAAUACAACUUGGAACUACCCUUUUAUGUGACACAAAGAUGCCCUAGCAAAGACUUAUCAAAAAAAAAAAAAAAAGAUGCCCUAGCAAAGGAUUUAAUCCUAGCCCUUCAUACAAAUGUAAUCUAAGAGCUUGUAUUCUGUCCAGCAGAAUUAAGAUGCUAAACAUGUCAAGACAGUCCUUAAAUGGUCGCAUGACUCACUUAAAAGGCACAUGACUUAUAAAAUAAAACCAAAAUGACAAUAAUAUCCUAAACAUGAAAUAAAGACAGAUUUAAGACUUAUAAAUAACUUAAGACCCAAAAACAACCACAUUAUCCGAUCACAUGAUCUAGUCCUCUUAGGAUUUUUUGUUUCUUGUUGAUGUUAGAUGUAAACUACCAGAGGCAAUUAUGCUAGCCAGCUUCCUCAAGAACCCAAUGUUCUUGAGGCAAAGGUAUGUCCUAACAUAUGGCUCAUAAAUUUGAAGUUUAGUAUCAUUUUAUGAAAAUUGUAAAUGAAGAGGGAGGGAAAUUUAAACGUGCUUGCAAUGCAAUCAACAUUGAAAGAAAAAUAAUGCCUGUAAGAAGGGAAAAACAGAGACCUAGAUCAAGCCAGAGAACAGCUUAAGCACCCACAACACAAUCCCAAAAGAAAGGGAGAGGUAAAAAGUUGUUCCGGCAGGCUGAAUAUAUUACUUAGCCCUAUAUACAAAUGUAAUCUGUCCAGCAAAUUAAAGACACUAAAAUGACAAAAUAUUCCUUAAAUGGUCACAUAAUUCACAUAAAAGGCAUGACUUAUGAAAUAAAACCAAAAUGACAAUAAUAUCCUAAACAUGGAAUAAAGACUGAUUUAAGAUUUAUUAAAUGAUUCAAGACCCAAAAACAAUCACAUAAUCUGAUCACAUCAUCUGCCCCUGUUAAUGGAAAACUCAGUCCAGUCCUCUUAGGAUGUUCAACUAAUUGAAAGUAGUCCUCUAUGGCUCUAUCACUUGCUCUGCAUCAGCUUGUAACUAAAUUUAUGCAUGGGUGAGUGAGAAUGGGAAUAGCAUUGUGAGAGAACAUAUUUCAACAUAUCGCUACACUCAAGACAAGAAACAGAAACUUCUAUCAUUUCAAUCGGUAGCAAAAGAGGGCAGUAAUUACUGUUUUGGUUUUUGGAAAUAUGACCAAGAUAUCUUAACUUUGAUGAGUUGCCUUUCAAGUUUGUAGAGAAUGAAGGCUUUUUUUAUAAUUAUUUUUUAUUUUUUAUGUCACGUGUUGGAACCUUCAAAAUCAUGUCAGUUACGACAGUAACAAAGGAUUGCUUGCAUUUUAUGCUAGUGAGAACUGGGAAGAAAAUUUUGAAGAAAUUUUUAUCAAUUCCAAUCAAAGACUUUGCCACUCCACAGAUUCAUCGACUUUACCGGAAAAUCUUUCUUACAUAUGCCUUUCAUCUCAUUUUAUUGAUAAAGAUUGGAAAAACACUAUAUAUAUAUAUAUAUAUAUAUAUAUAUGUAUGUAUAUAAAUUUUUGCGUUAUUCUAGUACCAAAGGUGAGGCAGUUGGUCGACCAGUGUAGGCAUAUUUAAUUGAAUGGGACAUAGAAUAGCUAUGUACACUUACCAAUGAUAAAUGUAAGUUUAUUUGAUCUUCUUGUUGCA